GCAAACUUGGUCAUUUAGAGGAAGUAAAAGUCGUAACAAGGUUUCCGUAGGUGAACCUGCGGAAGGAUCAUUAUUGAAUUAAUGUAGAGUUGGUUGUAGCUGGCCCUAUUAACUUGGGGCAUGUGCACACCUUCUCUUUCAUCCAUACACACCUGUGCACCUGUGAGGCAGAUUUUUUUGGGGGGGACUUUAUUGAACCCCCCUCUGCCUACUCAAUUCACAUAAACCCAAUUUAUUUUAAAAUGAAUGUAAUAGAUGUAACGCAUCUAAUACUAAGUUUCAACAACGGAUCUCUUGGCUCUCGCAUCGAUGAAGAACGCAGC
rnacentral:misc_RNA from 1 species